rnacentral:rRNA from 1 species
GUGAACCUGACGGAAGGAUGCA